rnacentral:rRNA from 1 species
UCUGGUGGCAAUGGCGGAGGGGUCACACCCGUUCCCAUCCCGAACACGGAAGUUAAGCCCUCCAGCGCCGAUGGUACUUGGGCAUCAGCCCUGGGAGAGUAGGUCGCUGCCAGAA